GGUUGCAGGGGACAGCCCAAGGCUAGGCCGAGGCAGCAGGUCCAAACCCCUCCUUGCCUGUGAUAAGUGGCUUAUAUUGCAGUCUGCCCCAGGAAACAGGGGCUAGUUGGUGACUGGCAGUAGCCUACGACUGAGGUGAGGUGGAGAUAGGGGUGGGUUCCCUGGGGAAGAGGAGACUGCAGGGGGCAGCAUCCCGGUCUGAAAGGGGCACUGGGGUCCAAGAAGGACUCGGGACCCAGGACACUAGCCUGCAGAGGGCGCUCCUGGGUUGAAGAGCUAAUUCCCAGGAUGACUGACAGGAGGCGCUGCAGGGGUUCAAUUAACCCCGAUCAUUCUCCCUUUUACAAGCUCAGUCCUCAAGAAAAAAAAUUAAAACUGCACCAGAGUCAGGAAAAGUCAGUGAUGUCCCGACUACCACUCCUAACGCCUCAUCUACACUAAUUAGGUGAAGAAUCCCACUGAUUUCAACAGGAUUAUUACAAGAAUACAGAUCCAUCAACCUCAAAAAAAGUGUUUGUCACUGAAGCAACCAACCUCCUCCAACACUGGUCACUUCUCUACUAAAAGUAAAUAGGUGGUUGCUACUUGGGCAGAAUGCCUGAAGUCAUCACAAGGCCAAGCGUGUCAUCUUUUACAUUGUGCUUUUCAUUUGCAUGCCUAGAAAGCAAGAGUCUCAAGGUUUACCAUUAGUUGAGUUGCCAGUAUUAUGAUGUUUUGUACUGCCCUCAAAAUGCAGACCCUGCAAAAAUAAAUGCAUUUAAAAAUCAUUACACAUAGUUGUCUGGUGGCACAGUGCAAAGCAUGAUAGCUGUAAUUAUGUUUUGGAAGUUACUUUGGGACUCUUAUGCCCUAGACCAGUAUUUCCAACCUUUCUUAUACUAGGGAUCAGUAUCAAAGACCUUGCAGCCUUCCUAAUCUGUGGCAGGGAGAUCUCAGGGACCGGUGCCAGUCCAUGGACCAGUGGUUGAGAAACCCUGCCCUAGACAAAAAAAACAGGCACAUCAUGUUACUGUUGCAUUUAUUCUCCUGGGUGUAGUGCCAAGCAUAUUACUGUAGGACAUCUUAUUAGCCUAUUAAUGAACAAACAUGUUCUGUUCUCUCAAAUUACAAGUGAGUGAAAUAGCAGUAGUAUUGGCCUGACAGAGUACGUGCAGGGAAAAAAAGGUCCUCCUCUAUAACAAAAAUAGAGAUAUAUGACAACACUG